rnacentral:rRNA from 1 species
AGUGAACGCUGGCGGUAGGCCUAACACAUGCAAGUCGAACGGCAGCACAGUAAGAGCUUGCUCUUACGGGUGGCGAGUGGCGGACGGGUGAGGAAUACAUCGGAAUCUACUUUUUCGUGGGGGAUAACGUAGGAAACUUACGCUAAUACCGCAUACGACCUACGGGUGAAAGCAGGGGAUCUUCGGACCUUGCGCGAUUGAAUGAGCCGAUGUCGGAUUAGCUAGUUGGCGGGGUAAAGGCCCACCAAGGCGACGAUCCGUAGCUGGUCUGAGAGGAUGAUCAGCCACACUGGAACUGAGACACGGUCCAGACUCCUACGGGAGGCAGCAGUGGGGAAUAUUGGACAGUGGGCGCAAGCCUGAUCCAGCCAUACCGCGUGGGUGAAGAAGGCCUUCGGGUUGUAAAGCCCUUUUGUUGGGAAAGAAAAGCAGCAGGUUAAUACCCCGCUGUUCUGACGGUACCCAAAGAAUAAGCACCGGCUAACUUCGUG